rnacentral:rRNA from 1 species
ACGCUCGACACCUACGGGGGCAGCAGUGGGGAAUAUUGCACAAUGGGGGAAACCCUGAUGCAGCGACGCCGCGUGAAGGAAGAAGUAUCUCGGUAUGUAAACUUCUAUCAGCAGGGAAGAAAAUGACGGUACCUGACUAAGAAGCCCCGGCUAACUACGCGCCAGCAGCCGCGGUAAUCUGAGCGGGCUGGCAAGGC